GGGUCGAUGCCCGAGCGGUUAAUGGGGACGGACUGUAAAUUCGUUGACAAUUUGUCUACACUGGUUCAAAUCCAGCUCGGCCCA
rnacentral:tRNA from 1 species